UACAGAGGUCUCAAGCGUUGUUCGGAUUCAUUGGGCGUAAAGGGUGCGUAGGCGGCGCGGUAAGUCGGGUGUGAAAUCUCGGGGCUUAACUCCGAAACUGCAUUCGAUACUGCCGUGCUUGAGGACUGGAGAGGAGACUGGAAUUUACGGUGUAGCGGUGAAAUGCGUAGAUAUCGUAAGGAAGACCAGUGGCGAAGGCGGGUCUCUGGACAGUUCCUGACGCUGAGGCACGAAGGCCAGGGGGAGCAAACAGG
rnacentral:rRNA from 1 species